UCGCCGUCUCCACGCCUCCGCGGGCAGUUACCGGCUCUGGCUGCUCGCGCCUCCCCAACUCGGGUAAAGCUCCUCGGCCUCGGCGUGCUGCGCCUCCGCGGCUGCCCUGCGCCAGGUGAGGGCUCGCGGCUCCCGGCUGCGGCUCCCGGCGCGUGGUGGCGGGCUCGGGGCGUGCGUCGCGGAGAGGACGGGGCCGGCGGGCGGUUGGAGCUCCGUUCGGUGCGGGGAGGGGCGUCACGCCGGGCGCUGCGCGGCCUCGGCGGGCGGCGGCAGCGGCGGCCACGGCCGCCGGGCUCUCGGGUUGUCUGCCCCCAGCUGGAGCCGGUCGGUGUCCCGGCGGAGAGACGGGCAGUCGGGCUCCCUGGCCUCGGGGCCACCCCGGCUGGGGCGGCUGGGGCAGAGGGACGAUGUCUGCUCGCGUCCCGAUGCCCACCGCCCAUUCUCGGGAGGAGCCGCCUGCGGUGACUGCUGAGAGGGAGUCGCUGUUGGCCGCGGCGAACCGGCCGGCCGAGCAGCCGCCCCCGCCCGAACGUGAGGGCAAAGAGGCGGUGAGGGAGGAGAGGGCCGCGGCCGCUACUAGCGCUGGGGCGCGGGGAGAGCCGUCGCCGGCGCUGGUGCUGGGACGCAGCGUGCCCCAGGCGGCUGUCCCCGUGAGGCCCCUGGCGCUGCACCUGGCGCACAAGGUGCGUGGGCCCGGGGGUCCUUUCGGCGGGGAGCCGCCACCACCGCCACCGCCGCCGCCGUCGCCGUUGCCGCCGUUGCUGCGGGAUCCGCCGGCCGAGGACGCCCGGGAAGAGGCGGCAGCUGGCCCUGCGGAAAAGCGGCAGCCGCCGCCGCUGCCGCCUAAAAGAAAUCCCUGGACCAAAAAGCCUCCCCAGCACCUGUCCCCAGACACGACAGGUCCGCCACCGCCCCCGCUGGAAACCCUGGAGGCAGAGUUCGGUUCCCUCAAAAUUAUAAAAGCAGGAAAGCUCAAGACAAAGAAAUCCAACAAGGCUAGUGAUUUCAGUGAUAUGGAGAAUUGGCCAACACCAAGUGAAUUAGUGAACACUGGAUUUCAGAGCGUCCUCAGCCAAGGAAAUAAAAAGCCACAAAAUAGAAAAGAAAAAGAAGAAAAGGUUGAAAAGAGAAGUAACAGUGAGAGCAAAGAAAACCGGGAAACAAAAUUAAAUGGUCCUGGUGAAAACGUCAGUGAGGAUGAGGCUCAGUCAAGUAAUCAACGAAAGAGAGCUAAUAAGCACAAGUGGAUACCACUCCACUUAGAUGUUGUAAGAUCAGAGAGUCAAGAAAGACCUGGAUCCCGGAACAGCUCAAGAUGUCAACCUGAAGCAAAUAAACCAACACAUAACAAUAGGAGAAAUGAUACACGAAGUUGGAAGCGAGAUAGAGAAAAAAGAGACGAUCAAGAUGACGUUUCCAGUGUGAGAAGUGAGGGUGGUAAUAUCCGAGGUUCCUUUAGAGGUCGAGGAAGAGGCCGAGGACGGGGAAGAGGACGAGGCAGAGGAAAUCCUCGAUUGAACUUUGAUUAUUCAUAUGGUUAUCAAGAACAUGGUGAAAGGACUGAUCAACCAUUUCAAACAGAACUUAAUACCAGUAUGAUGUAUUACUAUGAUGAUGGUACAGGUGUACAGGUGUAUCCUGUGGAAGAAGCAUUGCUUAAAGAGUAUAUUAAGCGUCAAAUUGAAUACUACUUCAGUGUAGAAAAUUUGGAACGAGACUUCUUUCUUCGGGGAAAGAUGGAUGAACAAGGUUUCUUGCCUAUUUCCCUGAUUGCUGGUUUUCAGCGUGUUCAGGCUCUCACUACAAACCUUAAUCUCAUCUUAGAGGCACUGAAGGAUAGCACAGAAGUAGAAAUUGUGGAUGAGAAAAUGAGAAAAAAGAUAGAACCAGAAAAAUGGCCAAUUCCAGGCCCUCCUCCACGCAGUGUGCCACCAACAGACUUCUCUCAACUGAUUGAUUGUCCAGAGUUUGUACCAGGCCAAGCCUUUUGCUCACAUACAGAGUCUGCCCCAAAUUCUCCAAGAAUUGGAAGCCCAUUGAGCCCAAAGAAAAACAGUGAAACAAGUAUUCUUCAAGCAAUGUCUAGAGGUUUGUCUACCAGUUUGCCUGACCUGGACUCAGAACCUUGGAUAGAAGUUAAAAAAAGACAUCAGCCAGCCCCAGUGAAAUUGAGGGAAUCAGUGUCUGUCCCUGAAGGGUCAUUAAAUCAGCUAUGUUCUUCAGAAGAACCAGAACAAGAAGAACUUGAUUUUUUGUUUGAUGAAGAGAUUGAACAAAUAGGACGAAAAAACACAUUUACUGAUUGGUCUGAUAAUGAUUCAGAUUAUGAAAUUGAUGACCAAGACUUAAACAAGAUUUUGAUUGUAACUCAGACACCACCUUAUGUGAAAAAACAUCCUGGAGGAGAUCGAACAGGCACCCACAUGUCUCGGGCAAAAAUCACAUCUGAACUUGCUAAAGUUAUCAAUGAUGGCUUAUAUUAUUAUGAACAGGAUCUAUGGAUGGAAGAAGAUGAAAACAAACACACAGCCAUAAAGCAAGAAGUUGAGAACUUUAAGAAGCUAAAUCUCAUUAGUAAAGAGCAGUUUGAAAACCUAACACCUGAACUUCCUUUUGAGCCAAACCAAGAAGUUCCUGUAGCACCUUCACAGUCCAGGCAAGAUUUGACUGAUGAAUUAGCUCAGAAGUUAUUUGAUGUUUCAGAAAUAACUUCGGCAGCAAUGGUUCAUUCGUUGCCUACAGCAGUUCCAGAAUCUCCUAGAAUUCAUCCUACAAGAACACCCAAAACACCUCGAACACCUAGGUUACAAGAUCCUAACAAAACACCAAGAUUUUAUCCUGUUGUUAAAGAACCAAAAGCCAUUGAUGUAAAGAGUCCAAGAAAGAGAAAAACAAGGCAUAGCACAAAUCCCCCUCUAGAGUUUCAUGUUGGUUGGGUAAUGGAUUCCAGAGACCAUGGGCCAAGAACAUCCUGUGUCAGCGCUUCAAAUGCUUCACCUUCAGAAGGCGCACCACUAGCAGGAAGUUAUGGAUGUACUCCUCAUUCAUUCCCAAAGUUCCAGCAUCCUUCUCAUGAACUUUUGAAGGAAAAUGGCUUUACCCAACAAGUAUACCACAAGUAUCGUCGAAGAUGCCUAAGUGAGAGAAAACGCUUGGGAAUUGGUCAGUCCCAAGAAAUGAAUACCCUCUUUCGUUUCUGGUCCUUUUUCCUCAGAGAUCACUUCAAUAAAAAAAUGUAUGAGGAAUUUAGACAACUUGCUUGGGAAGAUGCAAAAGAAAAUUACAGGUAUGGGUUAGAAUGUCUGUUCAGGUUUUAUAGUUAUGGACUGGAAAAAAAAUUCAGGCGAGAAAUUUUUCAGGAUUUCCAAGAAGAAACCAAAAAAGACUACGAAUCUGGUCAGCUCUAUGGACUAGAAAAGUUUUGGGCUUAUUUGAAAUAUUCUCAAUCUAAGACACAGUCUGUUGACCCAAAACUUCAGGAAUACCUCUGUAGUUUUAAGAGGUUAGAAGACUUCCGUGUUGAUCCCCCUAUUAGUGAGGAAUUUGGAAGAAAAAGACAUUCCUGUACUUCUGGUGAGGAGAGUAAUCGUCAUAGACUUCCACCUAAUUGCUCUACAAAGCCACCAAAUGCUGCUAAACCUGCAUCUACCAGUGAGCUUCAGGAGGCUGAUCCAAUAGAGUAAUACCUAAUUAUAUCACCAUGAGAUGACAGAAUGGAAUGUCAGAUCUGUAGACUUUUGACAGGAAAAAUCACCGUGAUCGAUUACUUCUGCUCAUCUUAAACAUCUAGUUCCUAAGCAGGAUGUGAGAAUCUGCCUUCCUGUGACCUCUCCUGGGCUCAGUGACACUCCAGUCACCGCCCCACCCCACACCAAUGCCACUUCCAAGUUUGACUUGCAUCUUACAAACCAGUAUUUCUGUUUACUUUUUUUCUGCCCUGGGACAUUUUUAAUAACUUUUAGAUAACAACUUCAACAAAAAUUUACCUCCCACCAAGAGGAGUUGUCUUUGUUGUGAGAAGUUGUCUUUAUUCCCAAGAAGGAGAAUAACUUGCUCUUUAAGUCAGUUUUAUUACAGGUAAAUUUGUACCAGCUUUUUCCUCUGCUUGUGUUAAGACCUGUCUCAAUAGACAUUCCGAUUGAGGAUUGUGGAAAUAGCAAAUAACAUUGGUGUCUGCCCACCACUGAAGGCAAAAAGCUGGUUUAUCCAGGCCACAGGCAGAGCCCGCAGGGGAGGCAGGUGACUUCUCGGAUCACCAGAUUAUCUUGAUCUUCAGCCAGCUUUAUUGUUGUAAAAAAACACUACAUGUUUAUUUUAUUUUAUUUUUUUGAGGCAGAGUCUCACUGUUUCACCCAGGCUGGAGCACAGUGGUGAGAUCUCGGCUCACUGCAACCUCUGCCUCCCAGGUUCAAACGACUCUCGUGCCUCAGCCUCCCGAGUAGCUGGGACUACAGACACGCACCACCACACCCGGCUAACUUUUCUAUUUUUGUAGAGACGGGGUUUCGCCAGGUUGCCCAGGAUGAUCUCGAACUCCUGACCUCAAUUGAUCCUCCCUCCUCGGCCUCCCAGAGUGCUGGGAUUACAGGUGUGAGCACUGCGCGCCUGGCCUGUUUUAUUAUUUUAAAGAUUACAGUAUAGGUUUCUAGGAAGCCUGGAUGGAGGUUCUCAUAUUCUAGGUAAUAUUUAGCUAUUUAAUAAAAAUUUAUUUUCAAAACCUUAAAGUUUGUGGAUUACAUACAAUACAGUUUUUGACUUGGUGCAUGAAUGUAUUGAAAUGAACUUGAUACCAUUAUAUUCACUUUAAAGCAUAUCAGCACAAUUUCCUAGAACAAUCUCUAAUGAUUAUUCCUGAAACUUUUCAUACUUGUCAUAUUUUUCCAUUUCAACUAUGUUAUUUACUUACUUAUUUUAAUUUUUUUGAGAUGGAGUCUUGCUCUGUCACCCAGGCCGGAGUGGAGUGGUGCGAUCUUGGCUCACUGCAACAUCUUGCCUCAUGGGUUCGAGCGAUUCUCCUGCCUCAGCCUUCUGAGUAGCUGGGGUUACAGGCACACGCUACCACACCUGGCUAAUUUUUGUGGUUUUAGUAGAGACAGGUGUCAUCAUGUUGGUCAGGCUGGUCUUGAACUCCUGACCUCAGGUGAUCUGCCUGCCUCAGCAUCCCAAAGUGCUGGGAUUACAAGCCUGAGCCACUGCACCCGGCCUCAACUAUGUUAUUUAAACCACUAGUGCCUAAACUUUGCUAAAGUGAUAUAGUAAUAGCUCAAAUAAUCGUAAUAAGGAUAUUUUCAGAAUAAAAAAGAAUAUCAUGGAAGUUAUUACCCAAGUAAAACUUCAUUCCAAUCUUUGUAUUUUACCUUCUCUCAACUAUAAGAGGUCAGGAAUAUUGUCUAUCUUGGUUACCAUUAUAUUUCCAACAAAGAAGAAUAAAAGAAAGAGGGAAAGAAAAGAGGAGGAAAUAUGGAAGGAAUAUCUUGAAAUGCUGUCAUCUAAAAUAACUAUCAUGACAUCUGGCAUAUAUAACAUAAUAUUUUGCCUAAAUUCUUAAACUAUACAAGGACAAUAUAUAUAUUUUAUUUAUAUUUAUUUAUUUUUAAUUUCUCAGCAAAAGCCACAUUCAAAUAUGUAAGGUAUUUUAAACAAUAUCACAAGUGCUGAAGAGGUAAAACACAUAAGAGCCAAAAGAGUGAAGACUGAUAGAAGGCAGGCUGUAACUAGAAAUCCUUCUAGCCAUCAUCCAGGGAAUGGAACUAUAUAUAAGAUUGAAGUAUGGUUAUAACUGAACAUACUUGCUUGAUUUUUUAAAGCUGUACACAAUUGAUUCAGGAUAAUUAUUGUGUUAUCUUUGGGGGAUCCUUGAUCCUGAACAAAGCUUCAUUGUUAGUACUACUACAUUAAAAGUCCUAUUGAAUGAAACAGAGGAUGUAGUCUAAUUCAAGGGCCAAGGGAAGGCAUCAAAAUAUUUAAUUGGUUUGUCAAAAACUCCCACCUUUAGAAACUCCUGGGGGGUGCAGUGGCUCAUGCCUGUAAUCCCAGCACUUUCGUAGGCCAAGGUGGGAGGAACACUUGAGGUCAAGAGUUUGAGACCAGCCUGAGGAAAUAGCGAAAUUCAGUCUCUACAAAAAAGGAGGAAGAGGAGAAGGAGAAAAGGUGCACAAAUUCCUAAUUUUUUUUCUCCACUUUAUAAAAGAAAGGCAUUGUCCUGACCCAUCCCAAAUACUGCUGUAGUUAUGCAAGCUGUCAUGGGCCACACAUAGGUGAAAUCUUCGUAGUAAUUCAUUGAGCUAUCAUAAACCCACAAGACUUGCUAAAUUUCUCUUCUUUAUAAAUAUUUAUGGGUAAAGCUUUGUAUAUUGUGGCUAGUGUACACUGUAUUAUUCAAUGAGGGAAUUAGAACACAUUUUUAUCAAAUCAUAAAAUAUGCAUUACAAUUACUAUGAGUCCAUCUUAUAGAAUGUUUAAAAUUGUUAACUUUUUAUUUACAAAAUAUAUUAUUUUAAAAAUAGCUGCUAAAUUUGUUUUUAGUAGACUAAAGCAUUCUGUUUCAUUAGAUUUAUUUUAAAAGUUGAAUCAUGAUUUUUCUCAAGACAGGCAUUUCCAGUAAAUCUGUGGCCAAGAUUGUCGAGCUGUUUACCCAAUGCAUUUCUAGAAUGCUAGACUGCAUUCCUGUCCUCCUGCUCUUUCAGGUUUGCCAAUAUAAUUGGUUCUGGUUAUUGGAAAGCAGACGAAGUAAGGGACUCCACUUCUAGACUUGGCCACAUGCCAUCUUGAUGCUCAUUCCUUUCUUCUUCAGCUUAUGCAGAAGCCAUAUGUUGAAAACAACAGAGCCCUGAGGAGUGGCCCUGAAUCACUACCUAGUCCUUUUGGGUACUCUAUAUUAAAUCAAGAAAUAGCUUUUAAUUAUAUUAAGCCACAAGAUUUUGUACUUUAUCUGUUACAGUAGCUAAUAUUAUCUUAAGUGAUAAUAACAAAUUUACUACUUAUGUUUAAUAAUUACCAAAAUGUAUAUAUAUUUUUGUUGUCUCGAUCAAUUCUGUA